rnacentral:rRNA from 1 species
GAUGAACGCUGGCGGCGUGCUUAACACAUGCAAGUCGAACGAUGAUGGGGGCUUGCCCCCGGAUUAGUGGCGAACGGGUGAGUAACACGUGAGUAACCUGCCCUUGACUCUGGGAUAAGCCUGGGAAACCGGGUCUAAUACCGGAUAUGACUUCCUGCCGCAUGGCGGGGGGUGGAAAGCUUUAGCGGUUUUGGAUGGACUCGCGGCCUAUCAGCUUGUUGGUGAGGUAAUGGCUCACCAAGGCGACGACGGGGUAGCCGGCCUGAGAGGACGACCAGCCACACUGGGACUGAGACACGGCCCAGACUCCUACGGGAGGC